CCUACGGGUGGCAGCAGUGGGGGAUAUUGCACAAUGGGGGAAACCCUGAUGCAGCGACGCCGCGUGGGUGAAGAAGUAUUUCGGUAUGUAAAGCCCUAUCAGCAGGGAAGAAAGAAGACGGUACCUGACUAAGAAGCCCCGGCUAACUACGUGCCAGCAGCCGCGGUAAUACGUAGGGGGCGAGCGUUAUCCGGAUUCACUGGGUGUAAAGGGAGCGUAGACGGCCGUGCAAGCCAGGAGUGAAAGCCCGGGGCCCAACCCCGGGACGGCUCUUGGAACUGUGCGGCUGGAGUGCGGGAGGGGCAGGCGGAAUUCCUGGUGUAGCGGUGAAAUGCGUAGAUAUCAGGAGGAACACCGGCGGCGAAGGCGGCCUGCUGGACCGCGACUGACGUUGAGGCUCGAAAGCGUGGGGAGCGAACAGGAUUAGAUACCCUGGUAGUC
rnacentral:rRNA from 1 species